rnacentral:rRNA from 1 species
UACAGAGGGGGCAAGCGUUGUUCGGAAUUACUGGGCGUAAAGGGCGCGUAGGCGGCCUGCUAAGUCGAACGUGAAAUCCCCGGGCUCAACCCGGGAACUGCGUCCGAGACUGGCGGGCUCGAAUUCGGGAGAGGGAUGCGGAAUUCCAGGUGUAGCGGUGAAAUGCGUAGAUAUCAGGAGGAACACCGGUGGCGAAGGCGGCUACCUGGACAGAAACUGACGCUGAGGCGCGAAAGCUAGGGGAGCAAACAGG